rnacentral:rRNA from 1 species
AUUGAACGCUGGCGGCAGGCCUAACACAUGCAAGUCGAGCGGAUGAAGGGAGCUUGCUCCUGGAUUUAGCGGCGGACGGGUGAGUAAUGCCUAGGAAUCUGCCUGGUAGUGGGGGAUAACGUCCGGAAACGGGCGCUAAUACUGCAUACGUCCUGAGGGAGCAAGUGGGGGAUCUUCGGACCUCACGCUAUCAGAUGAGUCUAGGUCGGAUUAGUUAGCUGGUGGGGUAAAGGCCUACCAAGGCGACGAUCCGUAACUGGACUGAGAGGAUGAUCAGUCACACUGGAAGUGAGACACGGACCAGACUCCUGCGGGAGGCAGCAGUGGGGAAUAUUAGACAAUGGGCGAGAGCCUGAUCCAGCCAUGCCGCGUGUGUGAAGAAGGUCUUCGGAUUGUAAAGCACGUUAAGUUGGGAGGAAGGGCAGUAAGUUAAUACCUUGCUGGUUUGACGUUACCAACAGAAUAAGCACCGGCUAACUUCGUG